UACGUAGGGGGCAAGCGUUGUCCGGAUUUAUUGGGCGUAAAGAGCUCGUAGGCGGCUCGGUAAGUCGGAUGUGAAACCUCCAGGCUCAACCUGGAGACGCCAUCUGAUACUGCCGUGGCUUGAGUCCGGUAGAGGAGCAGGGAAUUCCUGGUGUAGCGGUGAAAUGCGCAGAUAUCAGGAGGAACACCAGCGGCGAAGGCGCUGCUCUGGGCCGGUACUGACGCUCAGGGACGAAAGCUAGGGUAGCAAACGGG
rnacentral:rRNA from 1 species